GCUGAUAGCUCAGUUGGUUUUUGAGUAUGGGGCUAAUAACACCAAGGUCGUAAGUUGGAUCCCCAUGUGGGACA